rnacentral:lncRNA from 1 species
CCAGCCCAAGCCUUAAUAGGAUUUGAUAGAUACUCAUACCAACAAGUUGCAACUUCUUUUCCGGAAGCUUAUCUCGAGAGAACUCCAAGGUUAAGUGUGCUUGGCCUGGAGUAAUCUUGGGAUGGGUGACCGACCGGGAAGUCAUUUCUCGGGUGCGCAUGAGUGAGGACAAAGUGCGCAGAAAAGACAUGUGUGUUGGUUGUGUGAGGGAAGUCUUGAUAUCCUAGAGCACAGGCCUGACCUAGGGGGGUUCCUAGGGUUGGGGCGUGAUA